rnacentral:rRNA from 1 species
UACAUAGGGUGCAAGCGUUAAUCGGAAUUACUGGGCGUAAAGCGUGCGUAGACGGUUACAUAAGUCGGGUGUGAAAGCCCCGGGCUCAACCUGGGAAUGGCAUUCGAGACUGUGUAGCUAGGAUGCGGAAGAGGGAAGCGGAAUUUCCGGUGUAGCGGUGAAAUGCGUAGAUAUCGGAAGGAACACCAGUGGCGAAAGCGGCUUCCUGGUCCAGCACCGACGUUCAGGCACGAAAGCGUGGGGAGCAAACAGG